GUCAAAGAGAAAAGGAGUAUAAGAUAUAAAGUUUCAUGUGCAGACCUUCCCUCCUUAUGAAUUCUGUGUUGAAAUGAAUAACUGUAAAACCCCAGGGAUUUGGCCAACCUCUUCUCCUGUCUCCUGCCAACUUUGACCUGGUUUUCUACAAGACUUAAGAGGUACAGAGACUGCACAGAAUCUCCCAGAAGACCUUAGUCAAUGCAGAAUUAAAUGGAAAAAUUCCACUUUUGUCAAAGGUGAAAAAUCUGGCUUUCCUUACAUGCAGAACCUCUAGAGACAUCAACAUGGUCUGUAUGAGCAACCUCAGCAAAAAAAAAAAAAAAGCCUCAUCU